rnacentral:rRNA from 1 species
UGGGGAAUAUUGCACAAUGGGCGGAAGCCUGAUGCAGCGACGCCGCGUGAGGGAUGACGGCCUUCGGGUUGUAAACCUCUUUCGCUAGGGAAGAAGCCUUCGGUUGACGGUACCUGGAUACGAAGCACCGGCUAACUACGUGCCCNCAGCCGCGGUAAUACGUAGGGUGCAAGCGUUUUCCGGAAUUACUGGGCGUAAAGAGCUCGUAGGUGGUUUGUCGCGUCGUCUGUGAAAUUCCGGGGCUUAACUCCGGGCGUGCAGGCGAUACGGGCAAACUGGAGUGCUGUAGGGGAGACUGGAAUUCCUGGUGUAGCGGUGGAAUGCGCAGAUAUCAGGAGGAACACCGAUGGCGAAGGCAGGUCUCUGGGCAGUUACUGACACUGAGGAGCGAAAGCAUGGGUAGCGAACAGG